AGAGUUUGAUCCUGGCUCAGAUUGAACGCUGGCGGCAGGCCUAACACAUGCAAGUCGAACGGUAACAGGCGAGUGCUUGCACUUGCGCUGACGAGUGGCGGACGGGUGAGUAACGCGUAGGAAUCUACCUGGUAGUGGGGGAUAGCCCGGGGAAACUCGGAUUAAUACCGCAUACGCCCUACGGGGGAAAGCAGGGGCUCUUCGGACCUUGCGCUAUUGGAUGAGCCUGCGUUAGAUUAGCUAGUUGGUGGGGUAAAGGCCUACCAAGGCGACGAUCUAUAGCUGGUCUGAGAGGAUGAUCAGCCACACUGGGACUGAGACACGGCCCAGACUCCUACGGGAGGCAGCAGUGGGGAAUAUUGCGCAAUGGGCGAAAGCCUGACGCAGCCAUGCCGCGUGUGUGAAGAAGGCUCUAGGGUCGUAAAGCACUUUAAGUGGGGAGGAAGGCUACUUAGUUAAUACCUGAGUAGAUUGACGUUACCCACAGAAUAAGCACCGGCUAACUCCGUGCCAGCAGCCGCGGUAAUACGGAGGGUGCGAGCGUUAAUCGGAAUUACUGGGCGUAAAGCGCGCGUAGGCGGUUUUGUAAGCUGGGUGUGAAAGCCCCGGGCUCAACCUGGGAACUGCAUUCAGAACUGCAAGGCUAGAGUACAGUAGAGGGUGGUAGAAUUUCCUGUGUAGCGGUGAAAUGCGUAGAUAUAGGAAGGAAUACCAGUGGCGAACGCGGCCACCUGGACUGAUACUGACGCUGAGGUGCGAAAGCGUGGGUAGCGAACAGGAUCACAUACCCUGGUAGUCCACGCUGUAAACGAUGUCAACUAGCCGUAGGGAUCCUUGAGAUUUUUGUGGCGCAGCUAACGCACUAACUUGACCGCCUGGGGAGUACGGCCGCAAGGUUAAAACUCAUAUGAAUUGACCGGGGCCCGCACAAGCGGUGGAGCAUGUGGUUUAAUUCGAUGCAACGCGAAUAACCUUACCUGGUCCUGACAUCCUCGAAAGC
rnacentral:rRNA from 1 species